UGAGCCCUCGGGCGUAUGGCGGCGGGGGGGGAGAGAAGGGACCGGGAAUCGUCCCGGUGAGAUGGCGCGGGGGGCGUACGCGUGAGCCACCUGCCCGUCCCAGGGGGAUAGCCCCUCGAAAGAGGGAUUAACACCGCAUGAAAUCUAGAGGCGGCAUCGCCUUUCGACCAAAUAUUCAUAGGGGACGGAUGGGCUCGCGUGGCAUUAGCUAGUUGGUGGGGUAACGGCCCGGAAGGCGAUGAUGCCGAGGGGCUCUGACAGGACAAUCCCCCACACUGGUACUGAGACACGGACCAUACUCCUACGGGAGGCAGCAGUAGGGAAUAUUGGUCAAUGGGCGGAAGCCUGAACCAGCCAUGCCGCGUGCGGGAAGAAGGCCCUACUGGUCGUAAACCGCUUUUGCACGGGAACAACCGCAGGUACGCGUACCUGCCUGAUCGUACCGUGAGAAUAAGGAUCGGCUAACUCCGUGCCAGCAGCCGCGGUAAUACGGAGGAUCCGAGCGUUAUCCGGAUUUAUUGGGUUUAAAGGGUGCGUAGGCGGCACGUUAAGUCAGUGGUGAAAGACAGCGGCUCAACCGUUGCAGUGCCCUUGAUACUGAUGUGCUUGAAUUGCGCUGAGGACGGCGGAACGGGACAAGUAGCGGUGAAAUGCAUAGAUAUGUCCCAGAACACCGAUUGCGAAGGCAGCUGUCCAAGCGCGUAUUGACGCUGAUGCACGAAAAGCGUGGGGGAUCAAACAGGGAUUAUAUACCCUGGUAGUCCACGCCCCUAAACGAUGAUGACUCGAUGUGUGGCGAUAUAGUUGUAAGCGUCCAAGCGAAAGCGUUUAAGUCAUCCACCCUGCGGGAGUACGGUCCGCAUGGGUGAAACUUCAUAGGAAUUGACGGGGGACCCGUCAUCAAGCGGCAAGGAGCAUGUGAUUUUAAUUUCGAUGAAUACGCGGAGGUAUUCUUAACUCGGCCUUGGAAGUACCUGAACGGUAUUCGUAGAUUGCAUACCUUUCUUCGGACAGGAACUUAGAUGCCUGCAUGGCCUGUCGUCAGCUCAUGACCGUGAAGGGGACUUCUAGCGACUUAAGUAACCGCGAAUCGUAGGUUGCAUAUCUGCU
rnacentral:rRNA from 1 species